UACGGAGGGUGCAAGCGUUGUCCGGAAUCAUUGGGCGUAAAGCGCGCGUAGGUGGCCCAGUAAGUCCGUUCUGAAAGUCACAGGCUCAACCUGUGAAAGCGGAUGGAUACUGCUGGGCUAGAGUCCGGAAGAGGCGAGUGGAAUUCCUGGUGUAGCGGUGGAAUGCGCAGAUAUCAGGAGGAACACCAACGGCGAAGGCAGCUCGCUGGGACGGUACUGACACUAAGGCGCGAAAGCGUGGGGAGCGAACAGG
rnacentral:rRNA from 1 species